rnacentral:rRNA from 1 species
UUAUGGCUCAGAAUGAACGCUGGCGGCAUGGAUUAGGCAUGCAAGUCGAACGUACUCCCUUCGGGGAGAAAGUGGCGAAAGGGUGAGUAACACGUGAGCAACCUGCCUCCGGAUCCGGAAUAAUCCAGGGAAACUUGGUCUAAAACCGGAUGAAGACAUUGGUCCGCAUGGUCUAAUGUUUAAAAUAUUUAUAGUCCGGAGAGGGGCUCGCGGCCCAUUAGCUUGUUGGCGGGGUAAUGGCCCACCAAGGCUACGACGGGUAGGUGGUCUGAGAGGAUGGUCACCCACACUGGGACUGAGACACUGCCCAGACUCCUACGGGAGGCUGCAGUCGAGAGUCUUCCGCAAUGGGCGCAAAGCCUGACGGAGCGAUGCCGCGUGAGGGAUGAAGGCCUUCGGGUUGUAAACCUCUGUCAUCCGGGACGAAAACAAUGACGGUACCGGAAAAGGAAGCCACGGCUAACCACGUGCCAGCCGCUGC